GCGCCCGUAGCUCAGUUGGAUAGAGUGGUUUGCGGAGCCAAAGGUCAGAGGUUCGAGCCCUCUCGGGCGUGCCA
rnacentral:tRNA from 1 species